rnacentral:lncRNA from 1 species
AUGGAUCAAAUAUGUUGGGGUAUGAAAAGUUGAUUUAUUGUUAAAAAAUAAAAAAUUAUGUAGAGAAAUACAUCAAACAGCAAACCUCAGAAUAAACGUCACAGCUGGAACCAACUCUCCAAACUAAGUUAUGUAAUGGUUGCUUCUCUAAAACAUAUCAAGGUCAUUUUUGUCACAAAUUUACACAGCCGUACAACUAAAGUGUUCUAAGAUCAGAAUGUGUCUUCACGCGUAAAGAGAAUUCAUAAUGUGUCCUUUUAUGUAACCUUCUCAGUGCAUAAUGAAAUGACCAAAAGGCCCUUGAGAAAACAUGAAUUCGGCCAAACAAAUAGACGCGGAGCGACCUCGGCACGUCGCUGCGAGAGGUCGCUCCCGGGUCGUUUCUUCGCGAGCGACCUGGCUGUGUCGCUCCGAAGACGUCGCUCUCAGAUGGAGCGACUUCAUGUGCUCGCUCUAGGAGGUCGCUCCGAGAGCGAUUCUCGCGUAUCUGACGCCAUAAACGCGAGCGAUAUCGCUGUUUCGCUCCGGCCACGUCGCUCCCAGCUGGAGCGACCUUAUGGUGUCGCUGCGGAACGUCGCUGCGAGGUCGAUUUUGUGCCUAAAAACCGCGAAAAUGCGAGCGACCUGGCUGUGUCGCUCCGAAGACGUUGCUCCCAGAUGGAGCGAUUUCAUGUGCUCGCUCUAGGAAGUCGCUCCGAGAGAGAUUCAUGCGUAUCCGACGUCAUAAACGCGAGGGAUCUCUCUGUGUCGCUCCGGCCACGUCGCUUCCAGCUGGAGCGACCUUAUGGUGUCGCUGCGGAACUUCGCUGCGAGGUCGAUUUCGUGCCCAAAAACCGCGAAAAGGCGAGCGACCUGGCUGUGUCGCUCCGAAGACGUCGCUCCCAGCUGGAGCGACCCUUCAAAGUCGCUGCUGAUCCUCGCUCCCACGAUCGAUUCUCUGCUCAAACCGGAUUGAUCAAGCACCUGCACACCACUUCAAAAAAAAAUUUUUUUUUUUUUUUUUUUUUUGAAAUAUGAUGAAAAUGAUUAUACUAAUGCAAUAUGUAGAAGGAUACGCAUGAGACUUCCUCCCAAGUGAGCUUGUUUUAAGUCUCUAGCUUGACUUUGCCUCCUUUUGGAUUAGGUCGGGGUAGGAUCAGACAGUGGAGUUGAAACCCCAUCUUCCUCGGGUGCAUUUGCCAUGUAGAGCUUAACCCUUUGCCCAUUGACUGUGAAGUCUCUUCCAUCAGUACUCCACAAAACUAUUGCUCCAUAUGGCCUAACCUCCUUGACCUUGAAAGGACCAGACCACCUUGACUUAAGCUUUCCUGAAAAUAACUUCAGCCUAGAGUUGUAGAGAAGAACUUGAUCUCCUUCUUUAAACUCUUUCUCUUCAGGAUAUUCUUGUCAUGGAAAGCUUUAGUCUCCUCCUUGUAGAUCCUUGAGUUCUCAAAAGCAUCCAUUCUUAUCUCAUCAAACUCAUGUAGCUGAAAAAACCUUUUCUCCUUGGCACUCUUGAUGUCAAAGUUCAGCAACUUUACAGCCCAUAGUGCCUUGUAUUCAAGCUCCACUGGCAGAUGGCAAGCUUUCCCGUACACUAGGUUGAAAGGUGUGGUCCCCAGAGGUGUCUUGUAAGCUGUCUUAUAAGCCCAAAAUGCAUCAUCAAGCUUAAUUGACCAAUCAUUCCUUGUAAUCCCCACAAUCUUCUCCAAAAUGGACUUGAUCUCUCUGUUAGAAAUCUCAACUUGACCACUUGUUUGAGGGUGGUAAGGAGUUGCAAUCUUGUGCUUAACACUGUUCUUCUUGAGAAGUCCCUCAAGCAGUUGUUGAUGAAAUGAGACCCUCCAUCACUGAUUACAAAUCUUGGAACCCCGAACCUUGGAAAGAUGGUGCUCCUGAACAUCUUGGUUACAACUCUAGCAUCAUUGGUGGGACUUGCAAUAGCUUCCACCCAUUUGGAGACAUAGUCAACAGCUACAAGGAUGUAUUUGUUGCCAAAAGAUGAUGGAAAUGGCCCCAUGAAAUCUAUACCCCAUACAUCAAACACUUCAACUUCAAGGAUUGGAUUUUGAGGCAUCUCAUUCCUUUUUGUGAUGUUCCCUCUCCUUUGGCAUGAAUCACACUUUGAAACAAAGUCCUGUGUAUCCUUUAACAUAUGUUGCCACCAGAAUCCAGCUUGUAGCACUUUCGCAACAGUCUUGAAGGUAGCAAAGUGGUCUCCAUAGGAUGAUCCAUGACACUGUGUAAGGAUCCCAUCAAUCUCCUCAUUAGCAACCACUCUCCAAUAAAGUUGAUCCUUGCAGAGAAUGUAGAGGUAGGGCUCAUCCCAGUAGUAUCUCUUCACAUCCUUGCAGAACUUCUUCUUGGCAUAGCCCACAAGAUUCAAAGGUUUUUUUCCUGUGGCUAUGUAAUUUACCAAAUCAGCAUACCAAGGUUCUUUCUCCUCUGUUGCCUUGAAUUCUUCAAGCUUCCUACCAGUCUCACAAACUGCCAUCACUGCUCCAAUAGCCAUGAUCUGUUCCUCAGGAAGUCCUUCAUCAAUAGGAAUGCCACACUCCACUCUCAGCCUGGACAAGUGAUCAGAUACACCAUUCUCAACUCCUGGCUUGUCCUUGAUCUCUAAAUCAAACUCUUGAAGCAAAAGAAUCCAUCUCAAGAGCCUGGGUUUUGCAUCAUUCUUUGCCAAAAGAUGUCUCAGCGCAGCAUGAUCUGUGUAGACAAUGACUUUAGAUCCCACCAAGUAGCUUCUGAACUUCUCAAAGGUAAAGACAAUGGCUAGCAUCUCCUUCUCUAUUGUGGCAUAUCUCAUCUGAGCAUCAUUCAGGGUUUGGCUCGCGUAGUAGAUCACAUGGGUCUUGCCAUCUUUCUUCUGCCCCAAAACAGCUCCCACAGCAUAGUCACUAGCAUCACACAUGAUCUCAAAGGGGAGAUCCCAAUUAGGUGGCUGGACAAUUGGAGCACUGAUGAGUUCACCUUUCAGCUUCUUGAAGGCUUCUAGACACUCCACAUCAAAGCUGAAGGUGGCUUCUUUGCACAGCAGCCUGGUCAAUGGUCUAGUGAUCAUGGAGAAGUCCUUGAUGAAUCUUCUGUAGAACCCAGCAUGACCAAGAAAACUUCGGAUGUCUUUCAUUGUCUUUGGUGGGGGCAAACCAACCAUAACAUUGAUUUUGGCCUUAUCCACCUCAAUCCCCUUCUCUGAAAUCUUGUGUCCCAGCACAAUCUCUUCCUUAACCAUGAAGUGACACUUAUCCCAAUUCAGCACAAGGUUAGUGUCUUCACAUCUCUGUAGGACCCUACACAAAUUUGACAAACAAGCAGAAAACGAAGAUCCAUAGACAGAGAAAUCAUCCAUGAACACCUCCACAACAUCCUCAAUCAGAUCAGAAAAGAUCGACAUCAUGCACCUUUGAAAGGUGGCUGGAGCAUUACAUAGACCAAAUGGCAUUCUUCGAUAUGCGAAGGUACCAUAAGGACAUGUGAAUGUUGUUUUCUCCUGAUCAUUGGGAUGUAUGGGGAUCUGGAAGAAUCCUGAAUAUCCAUCAAGAAAACAAUAGAAUGGAUGAUUUGCAAGUCUCUCAAGCAUCUGAUCAAUAAAUGGAAGUGGAAAAUGAUCUUUUCUAGAUGCAGAGUUCAGUUUGCGGUAAUCAAUACACAUCCUAUGCCCAGUGACUGUUCUUGUUGGUAUCAAUUCAUCCUUGUCAUUUUUAAUCACAGUUAUACCACCCUUUUUUGGCACAACAUGCACAGGAGAUACCCAUUUAGAAUCUGAGAUAGGGUAGAUAACACCAGCAUCUAAGAGUUUAAGAAUCUCUUUCUUUACAACAUCCUUCAGGUUAGGAUUUAACCUUCUUUGAUGCUCGAUAGAAGUCAUUGAUUCAUCCUCAAGAUGUAUCCUAUGCAUACACAAAGAGGGUGAUAUUCCUUUGAUGUCAUCAAGUGAGUAACCUAUUGCUUUUCUAAAUCUUUUAAGUGUUUUCAAAAGUUAAGAUAGUUCAGUUUCAGUAAGUUCACUACUCACAAUGACUGGGUAAAUGAUUUAUUGUUAAAAAAUAAAAAAUUAUGUAGAGAAAUACAUCAAACAGCAAACCUCAGAAUAAACGUCACAGCUGGAACCAACUCUCCAAACUAAGUUAUGUAAUGGUUGCUUCUCUAAAACAUAUCAAGGUCAUUUUUGUCACAAAUUUACACAGCCGUACAACUAAAGUGUUCUAAGAUCAGAAUGUGUCUUCACGCGUAAAGAGAAUUCAUAAUGUGUCCUUUUAUGUAACC